UUGCUGGUCAAGAGCAGAUGCGACAA
rnacentral:misc_RNA from 1 species